GCUGGCGGCGUGCCUAAACAUGCAAGUCGAGCGGUAACAGGUGUAGCAAUACAUGCUGACGAGCGGCGAACGGGUGAGUAAUGCUUCGGAAUCUGCCCAAUGGUGGGGAAUAACCAGCCGAAAGGUUGGCUAAUACCGCAUAAGUCCUACGGGGGAAAGCAGGGGAUCGCAAGACCUUGCGCCGAUGGAUGAGCCGAAGUCGGAUUAGCUAGUUGGUAGGGUAACGGCCUACCAAGGCGACGAUCCGUAGCUGGUCUGAGAGGACGACCAGCCACACUGGGACUGAGACACGGCCCAGACUCCUACGGGAGGCAGCAGUGGGGAAUAUUGGACAAUGGGGGAAACCCUGAUCCAGCGACGCCGCGUGUGUGAAGAAGGCCUGCGGGUUGUAAAGCACUUUUAGUGGGGAUGAAAAGCUCAGGGCUAACACCUCUGGGUCUUGACCUAACCCAAAGAAAAAGCACCGGCUAACUCUGUGCCAGCAGCCGCGGUAAUACAGAGGGUGCGAGCGUUAAUCGGAAUUACUGGGCGUAAAGCGUGCGU
rnacentral:rRNA from 1 species